CGCAGUCUGCAACUCGACUGCGUGAAGGUGGAGUCGCUAGUAAUCGCGGAUCAGCAACGCCGCGGUGAAUGCGUUCCCGGGCCUUGUACACACCGCCCGUCAAGUCAUGAAAGUGGGCAGCACCCGAAGACGGUGGCCUAACCCUUGGUGGGGGGAGCCGUCUAAGGUGAGGCUCGUGAUUGGGACUAAGUCGUAACAAGGUACC
rnacentral:rRNA from 1 species